UACACGUAGAAGAAAACGAAUUUUAAGAGAUUUAUUUAGGAACUGACGUUUCGUCUUUAACUUAAGACAUCUUCAGAGUAAAUUCUAUAUCGUUUACUCUGAAGAUAGAUGUCUUACGUUAAAGACGAAAACGUUAGUUCCUAAAUAAAUCUCUUUUAAAAUUCAUUUCUGAUGGCUCUUCUACGUGUAUUAUGUUGGGCAUUAAUUUUCAUUUAAGAUUACGAUUCCCGCCUGGUAAAUCUUUAAAAUUGGUUUCAUUUUAGGUCGGAAGAUCUAACAUUUCUUAGGAGUAAAGACGUUUGUAACGUAUAUGACCCCCCUUUUUACAUGAGAUGACCCCUCUUUUUUGUACGUCACCGACGACAGCAUGGACUAAUUAUAAUGUCAUUCAUGUUAAUGAUCUUUUACGCCUUGCCGCAGGAUAUUAGAUCGCCGGAGGUUAAAUCACCGCAUGGUAUCAGACUAUAUACUUUUAUUCAGCAUGCAUUAGACGAGAUCACAUUUCAUUUGGCGCGGUAAAGUUCAACGGCGAGCGUACAUUUUGCGCACAGUAUUAAAUACCAUGGAAUUCUUUUCAUCGAACGAAGUUAAUUCACAUUUUUUCAAAAUAUUUCUGUAUGAUAUGGACAGCAUACGAAGGAACCUACAUUUAUGCUAACUUGAUUGUCUUGA